rnacentral:tRNA from 1 species
UGCGGGUGUAGUUUAGUGGUAAAACCUCAGCCUUCCAAGCUGAUGAUGUGAGUUCGAUUCUCAUCACCCGC